rnacentral:lncRNA from 1 species
AUAUUUACAGCGAUCACUUUUCAGUUAAGUUUCAGCACUUAACGGUAAUUGUGUAUUGAUUACAGUAUUCAACCAAAAGUAUUAAGUAGAACAAACAAAAAAAAAAUAGUAAGAGGGAUAACAUGCUCAUCAACAGUCAGGGUGAGGGCUGAUCAAGUCACCGUUUCUCAUAAUGUUCAUUUCACUUUAACAGGUUUUCUUUUUGGUGCUCAGUUAGUUGUCACCUAUCAAGGAGAACAAGUGGUAUUUGUCCCUUUGGGAUUGGCUUAUUUUAAUUUCUUUUUUAUUUUCUGAAAGAAUUAUUUACUAAUAUUGCAUAGGUUUAAUCUUGAAACAACAAAUAGCAAACUACCCUUAAAUGUGCUAUAUAGAUAAGAAAAGGGGGUAUUAAUAGAAAUCAAAGUGAGCCAGUUUUAAGAGCCUAUAUUAAAAGCUAAUUUGGAAAUAGCUGCAUUGCUGAAUACCUGUAGUAUACCAGAAAUCAAAUGUUGUCAAUAGGAUACAUUUAACAGCAACCUGAAAUAAUUCUUAAUCUGCAUACUUGGAAUGCUUGUAUUUUAAUUUUGGUUUAAGUUUUGGAACUUAAAAAAAUUAGAUGUGAGAUAUAAGGAAUAUGGUUCAAAAUGACAAACCUAAACCAUAUCCAAUGCGAUGGGACUUGUUCAGAAGUUCCUCCUAGUAUGAAACAGGAGCCUAUUCUCAACCUAUUUUUCAAUUAAUAAUUGAGAAAAUGUUAAAUGUUUUAAGCAAAAUCUUUCAGAAUCUCAAUAGUUAAUAAUAAAAGACAACCGUGUUUCUAAAACAUUGUCUAAUGAUUUCAUUCCCUAGUGAGCCAGUGCCUAAGUCCCAGUAGUAUAUCACACAUUUGGUAGAGUCCAGAAUUUUAGGAUCCUUAAUGAUUAUUAAGGAUACAAGUUGGAGAAGGGGGCAGCAUUGUGGCAUAGGGUUAACCCUCCACCUGCAAGAGCAGCAGAAGAUGGCCCAAGUACUGGGGCCCCUGGCACCGCAGCCAUUUUGGAUUAUUUUUAGAAAAGAAUUAUUUAUGAAAUAUUUGAAACACUGAAGUGUGAUAAUAAUGCCAUUUUAUUUGUAACAUUUUGUUCUUUAUCUUUCUGUUUAUACGGGCCCUCUAAUGCCAACGGUUCCUAAAAUUUGAGCUAGACACUUCUAAGCCUACUAAUCAGGUAUCAGCAAUAUUAUGUGUCAAGUAGAUCCUAAUUCAAGGUGGGUAAAGAGCCAUUUAAUAAAUUCAAACUGUGCUGAUCGCA